rnacentral:lncRNA from 1 species
GACAUAGCAAGGAGACUUAUAUUUAAGCGAAGGAGAAACAGGAAGGGCCCUCUUUUCCCCUCCGGUCCUGCUCCAGCGGCAUGAUGUGAGCCACCAGCAAGGAGGGACUCCAAUAAGGCGUCAGAUAAGAUUAUGCAUGAAUUUUGGUGAUAGAAAUAUUGCAGAGCAACAACAACAACAAAAAAGCUCAGUCAGGAAAGGUCUUACCUCACAAGAAUGAAGACAUCAGUUUCCCUCUCCAGCAUCAAGGUAAAAUAGCUGGGUAUGGCUGUGUAAGCUCACCUGAAAUCCCAGAGCUGGAAUGUGGAGACAGGAACAGAUU